CGCAGACAACGACAACACUUUAGCUCGACGACGCGCAAGGUUUCUUGAAAGCCUUCCAGAGACAGUAGAGGAGCUGGUCACCACAUUGCACAAAGAGCUGAAGUUGGAAGGUGUCUUGGUCCUGCAAUUUGAAGACCCAGCUUUCCAAAAUGAACUUUGUAACUUAACCAACACAUCUGACCUGCCUGAAGGGAGGGCAAUGCUGAAGAUAAUACAAAAGACCACUCUUCUGUCUUCAGUUGACUGCCAGCAGUCUGACUCGUCUUUAGACACUGCUAGCUUAGGCACCUCUUCAGAAGACUCACCUUGCAGUCAUCUUUGAGAGUGGCCAGAUCCAUUUGUCAUUCCAACUUUCUCCUCUGACGUUGAACUCAAACUCAAGCAAGGGAAUGAAUCAUAUUUAAAUAAUGGCUCCCUCUUAAAUGUAUCAAAAGCUAUGAAAACUGACAUUCUUGACAAGCUGGCAGAAUCUAUGUAUGUCAUCAAGGCAUAUCCAAGUGGAGAGCAAUAUAAUGCUGUUGCAAAAGCCCUGGUAGAGAAGCACCCAUGUUUGAAAGAGCCUAGGUCAUCAUGUGGAUGGUAUGGAUGGAAGUUCAGUCUGAAAUUUAAAAUGGGAAAUUUCAGGCAGAAAUUGUCAAGGCGAAAAAUUGUCACCGAGGCUUUUUACCUGGAAAUGAAGGCUAUUAGGACUCAGGAUAGGCAAAGAGUUUUAAAGCUUUAUUGCAAUAAAACAACAACAUGGACUCAACCCAAUUCGGCCAAAUGAGAUUGAACCCCAAACAGUUCAGAAUUUGAAACUUGUAUAGUAAUUUCUUAUCACUCCGACCUCAAUUAGCUCAUUUGCUGUUUUUCUCUGACUCCUCUCUGCACCUGCACGGCCAAUACCUUGGGUUCUCAUGGGAACCAUCAUUAUCUCCUGACUUUCCCUGCAGCUGGCCUCUGUUAUUUCACUGUCUAUUUUCCAUUUUUAGUUUCUGUUUUUGCUUAUUUCUUUCACUGGCCAAGGCCAGUACAGACAUUCUCUCUCUUCCAUUUAUGGGCUUUCCUCUCAUCACUUCCUCUUUCUCGGACUUUUGAGCUGGUUUGUUUGAUGCCCACAGCUAAUGCUUUAAUUAAAAAGAAAUAUGACAGAUGCCUUUAUUUAAUCCUUUGCUUGACACGCUUGACUUGCCUUAAUUUCUGCACUUAAGUUAAUUUCUAAUAUAUUCUUCUAUAUUUAUUUAUUUAUUUAUUUAGUUUAAACAGUCUUGAAACAGAAAGAAGUACAUUGGAGUUUGAAAUGAAGAAAAGAGUCGUGGACUUGAAGCAAGUCGAUGCCCUUAUGAACAGUAUGUUUUCUUUGAGGUGAAAGUAAGUGAUUGAGGAGGAUCCCUUGUUGAAAGACGUGAUGAUCAGGUGGCCUGCUUUGUUUUGAAGACAGAUUACAGCAGAACUUCAACGAAUAGUAUCUGACAUCAGACGUUAAGAAAACCUUUUUUGAUGGACUUGACAAAUAUCUGCCAGGAUUGUUGAGGCUUUAUCGUGCAAGAGACUCAGGAACUGAAGAGCUCAGAAGCCUUGUCCAGUUUGUUGAUGUUGAUGCAUUUUAAAUUUGGAUUUUAAAUGAAACAUCAACUGGGAAAACUGCCAAUUGCCUCCUCACUUUGCUAAUUUCCUCAGUCUGGUAAAGCCUACACCUGAUGAAGAUGAUAUUGUCAGAGGAAUGAAUAUUGGACUCCUCUUGAUAACGGAGGAGAAUCUUGCAAGCCUUCUCCCUCAGGAGAUUAUUGAUGUGACAGUGGUUUUGGAGGAGCAGAUUGUACUUCAUGACUUGAAGGAUGUCCUAAAUGCCUUUGUUCUUCUCAUGGGUCUUCUCUAUGCCUUAAACAUCAGUUACCCUAAGGAGCUGAGAAGUACAUUCGAGUUCAUCCAAAAAAUCUUAAUGAACAUUGGUGGGGAUACAUGCUAUGCAAAAGUUCAUGGACAUCGGAACAAACUAUUGCAGAAAACUCUUUAAGAAUAUUGCAUGUGUAAUUGAUGAAGAGAACAGAAGUCCUAAUGUUUGCUUCCAGUGUUUUUGUCAAUAAGUCAAUUUUUCUUUUUCUCAUGCCUUAUUGCAAUUAAAAAAAGGACUUAAAGUUAAAUGCUUCUUUUUUCCACCUGAUGCUUGUUACUGUUAAGGUGUCUUUUGUAACCUUUGAUUCAGUCACACACAACCAAUUGUUCUUUAUUUCACUGGCGUGAAGCUGUCCAAUGUCAGAGUUAAGAUUCUAAUGUGAAAGAAAUGUUUUAAAAUUUGAUUUAACAAUUCUGUGCAUUUAAUGUCUCCACACAUAUACAUGCAUAUUUGUGUCACGUGCAGAGAGUUAACAUGCUUUCACACAGCAUUACUGUUAAGAAAAAAACAUACCUCUGAUAUUAUUUACAUUUUGUGAUGCACCAUAUUAUUUCUUUUCAAACAGACAGAAAAAGGAGAAUCAUUGCAUU